rnacentral:tRNA from 1 species
UCCAGGGUAGCCUAGUGGACAUGGCAUCUGCCCGGUGUGCGUAACAUUGUGGGUUCGAUUCCCAUCCCUGAAC